rnacentral:rRNA from 1 species
CAGUCGCCACGGGAAUACGUAGGUGGCAAGCGUUGUCCGGAAUUAUUGGGCGCAAAGGGCUCGCAGGCGGUUUCUUAAGUCUGAUGUGAAAGCCCCCGGCUCAACCGGGGAGGGUCAUUGGAAACUGGGAAACUUGAGUGCAGAAGAGGAGAGUGGAAUUCCACGUGUAGCGGUGAAAUGCGUAGAGAUGUGGAGGAACACCAGUGGCGAAGGCGACUCUCUGGUCUGUAACUGACGCUGAGGAGCGAAAGCGUGGGGAGCGAACAGGAUUAGAUACCCCAGUAGUCCCUGUCUCUUAUAC